rfam:Triticum aestivum genome assembly, contig: Triticum_aestivum_CS42_TGACv1_scaffold_513946_6BS
GUAUUACUACCUCCAACCCAUAUUAAUUGAUGCUCAAACGGAUGUAUCUAGCCGUAUUUUAGUGCUAGAUACAUCCAUUUGAUUAUCAAUUAAUAUGGGACGGAGGGAGUACAUA